CCCUUAGAUGUUCUGGGCCGCACGCGCGCUACACUGAUGCAUUCAACGAGUCUAAAACCUGCUCUGAUAGGGGUGGGUAAUCUUUUGAAUGUGCAUCGUGACUGGGAUAGAUGAUUGCAAUUUUUCAUCUUCAACGAGGAAUGCCUAGUAAACGCAAGUCAUCAGCUUGCAUUGAUUACGUCCCUGCCCUUUGUACACACCGCCCGUCGCUCCUACCGAUUGAAUGAUCCGAUGAAUAUCAUGGAUUGAGGAUGCAAGUAGGUUAGCCUAUCUUCAUCUUCGAGAAGUGAAGUAAAUCUUAUCAUUUAGAGGAAGGAGAAGUCGUAACA
rnacentral:rRNA from 1 species